AUUGAACGCUGGCGGCAUGCCUUACACAUGCAAGUCGAACGGCAGCACGGGAGCAAUCCUGGUGGCGAGUGGCGAACGGGUGAGUAAAGUAUCGGAACGUGCCCAGUCGUGGGGGAUAACGUAGCGAAAGUUACGCUAAUACCGCAUACGAUCUAUGGAUGAAAGCGGGGGAUCGCAAGACCUCGCGCGAUUGGAGCGGCCGAUAUCAGAUUAGGUAGUUGGUGGGGUAAAGGCCCACCAAGCCGACGAUCUGUAGCUGGUCUGAGAGGACGACCAGCCACACUGGGACUGAGACACGGCCCAGACUCCUACGGGAGGCAGCAGUGGGGAAUUUUGGACAAUGGGCGAAAGCCUGAUCCAGCCAUGCCGCGUGCAGGAUGAAGGCCUUCGGGUUGUAAACUGCUUUUGUACGGAACGAAAAGGACUGCCCUAAUACGGUAGUCCCAUGACGGUACCGUAAGAAUAAGCACCGGCUAACUACGUGCCAGCCGCCGCGGUAA
rnacentral:rRNA from 1 species